GACGAACGCUGGCGGCGUGCUUAACACAUGCAAGUCGAACGAAGUGGCGAACGGGUGAGUAACGCGUAGGUAACUGCCUGGUAGCGGGGGAUAACUAUUGGAAACGAUAGCUAAUACCGCAUACUACCAGAUGGACCUGCGUUGUAUUAGCUAGUUGGUGGGGUAACGGCGCACCAAGGCAACGAUACAUAGCCGACCUGAGAGGGGGAUCGGCCACACUGUGACGUAGACACGGCCCAGACUCCUACGGGAGGCAGCAGUAGGGAAUCUUCGGCAAUGGACGGAAGUCUGACCGAGCAACGCCGCGUGAGUGAAGAAGGUUUUCGGAUCGUAAAGCUCUGUUGUAAGAGAAGCGGUAUCUUACCAGAAAGGGACGGCUAACUACGUGCCAGCAGCCGCGGUAAUAC
rnacentral:rRNA from 1 species